AGAAGCAAUACCGCGAGGUGGAGCAAAACUUCAAAAAUAGGUCUCAGUUCGGACUGUAGGCUGCAACUCGCCUACACGAAGUUGGAAUUGCUAGUAAUCGUGGAUCAGCAUGCCACGGUGAAUACGUUCCCGGGUCUUGUACACACCGCCCGUCACACCAUGAGAGUUGGGAAUACCCGAAGCCUGUGAGCUAACUUAUAGAGGCAGCAGUCGAAGGUAGAAUCAAUGAUUGGGGUGAAGUCGUAACAAGGUAAC
rnacentral:rRNA from 1 species